rnacentral:rRNA from 1 species
GACGUAGGGCGCGAGCGUUGUCCGGAUUUAUUGGGCGUAAAGAGCUCGUAGGCGGUUUGUCGCGUCUGCUGUGAAAUCCCGAGGCUCAACCUCGGGUCUGCAGUGGGUACGGGCAGACUGGAGUGCGGUAGGGGAGACUGGAAUUCCUGGUGUAGCGGUGAAAUGCGCAGAUAUCAGGAGGAACACCGGUGGCGAAGGCGGGUCUCUGGGCCGUAACUGACGCUGAGGAGCGAAAGCAUGGGGAGCGAACAGG